AUCUACGGCCAUGCCACCCCUGAACAAGCCUGAUCCCUUCUGAUCUCGGACGCUAAGCCGGGUCGGUCCUGGUUAGUAUUUGGAUGGGAGACCAUUUAGGGAGACCAGGUGCUGUAGGCU
rnacentral:rRNA from 1 species